UACAGAGGUGGCAAGCGUUGUUCGGAAUUACUGGGCGUAAAGCGCACGUAGGCGGGUUUGUAAGUAGGGGGUGAAAUCCCAGGGCUCAACCCUGGAACUGCCUUCUAGACUGCAAGCCUGGAGGUCAGGAGAGGCGAGUGGAAUACCGAGUGUAGAGGUGAAAUUCGUAGAUAUUCGGUGGAACACCAGUGGCGAAGGCGACUCGCUGGACUGAUACUGACGCUGAGGUGCGAAAGCGUGGGGAGCAAACAGG
rnacentral:rRNA from 1 species